rnacentral:lncRNA from 1 species
UUAUAAAGGAGAGAAAUUCGACUGGCUCAUGGUUCUGCAGGCCGUACAGGAAGCCUGGUGCUGGCAGAUCUGCUUCUAGGGAGUUCUCAGGAAGCUUCUGGUCAUGGUGGAAGGCAAUGCGGAGCCAGCGAGUCACAUGAUGAGACCCCGAGCAAGAAAGAGAGGCCGGGAGGUGCCACACUCUACAACAACCAGAACGUGCCUGUGUAAUCAGAACCCAGAAAAGGGAAAAGAGCAUUCUUCACCACACAGAAGUCCUGGUGACAGUCUUUCUAGUUAUCGGCCCACUGCAAGGGUAACCCUAUCCAAACUGCGUUGAUUAGGUUUUCAUAUUUCAUAGAAAUGGAUUCAUACACUACUUGCUCUUUUGUGUCUGGAUUUUUCAUCAUGCAACAUUAUUUCUCAACCUGGAGCUGUGCGGACUGAGACUGAGAUGCAUCGCUGAAACUCUCUUUAGGUGUUCCCUACCAUUUCUUCUUGGAAAAGAAGGUUUUACCUCCUGGGAUUUUUGAGAACCUCUAACUUCUCCAUUGGGGACCAUCUCCAGGUACCACCAAAAAAGAGCACAACAGCAGCCUUGCGGAUAAGUCCUGGUCUGGAGUCAGCCACCGCUGCACACACCACUCAGAGCUGCAUCAUCGGGUUACCCCUGGAAAGGCUGCCCACACACCCACAUCCAGGGGUGUCUCGUCACUGCUGACGACUAGCACGGUGAAUGUUCUGCUUCGUGGAGAGACUAUCAGAGCUGGAAUAUCCAUAGGCUUAUAAUCUUCAUGAAUACUUCCUCUCUCAAUUGCCGUGAAAUAAUAUGGCUCCUCAGUCCAUGAAGCUGGCAUCAAUAACUGAAAUAGGCUCGGAAAAGUCCGGGCAAGAGGAACCUGAAAGCUCAGCAUGAGAUGAAGUGGCUGGAGGAGGCUGACCAUCAAACCUACUUAGAAGUCAGACCUUGAAUGUAAGUACAUGUUGUUCAUUAUCUAUAUCUUUUGCAUGACAGAAUGUCAGUUAUAGGAUAAAUAACAGAGGGUAGGCUGUGUACCAAGUCAUGGUGACA